CCCCCGAACCCACCCCAAGGCUGCCUCCUGGACUCAGCAGGCGGAGAAGGGACCUCUGCUGCAUGUGUUUCAAUGAUCACAGGAUCUUCUCCUUCCCAGAGGCUAGUGAAGCUUAGAAAGAAAAAAAAAACGCACUCGCGAUGAAAUGUUCUCCGAGCUCAUGCUGUCCUCCCACACUGACAGAGCACAGACGAAUGCGUGGAGGCAAAUAAUGUCAGAGUGCAGGAAAGCACAAAAUGACCGGGAGGAGAGGUGGAGGGCUGAAGAGAGUAAGUGGCGGGCUGAAGAGAGUAAGUGGCGGGCUGAAGACAGGGCUGAAGCUCAAAGGUGGCGGCAGCGUGAUGAGAGGAGGCAGGAUUCAAUGCUGAGGCUGCUGCAGGACCAAACCAGUAUGCUCCAGUGUAUGGUUGAGCUGCAGCAAAGGCAGCUGGAGCACAGACUGCCACUGCAGCCCCUCUGUAACCAACCGCCCUCCUCCCCAAGUUCCAUAGCCUCCACACCCAGACGCCCAAGAACGCGGUGGGGGGGCCUCCGGCCAACCAGCCACUCCACCACAGAGGAUUGCCCAAAAAAAAGAAGGCUGUCAUUCAAUAAAUUUUAAAGUUGUAAACUUUUAAA